UACGGAGGAUCCAAGCGUUAUCCGGAUUUAUUGGGCGUAAAGGGUAUGUAGGUGGUUAUAUUAGUCGAUUGUCGAACCUUCGGGCUUAACCUGAAGACAGCAAUCGAAACGGUAUGACUAGAAUAUGCGAGGGGUGAAUGGAACUCAUAGUGUAGGGGUGAAAUCCGUUGAUAUUAUGGGGAACACCAAAAGCGAAGGCAAUUCACUGGCGCAUUAUUGACACUGAAAUACGAAAGCGUGGGUAGCGAAUGGG
rnacentral:rRNA from 1 species